rnacentral:lncRNA from 12 species
AAAGAGGCUAUUGAUUUCUCAUUCCCCAAGGUGCCAAACUGACACCAACAAAAAGUGUUGUGAUAGAAAUAUUUCAUUCUGUUUAAGGGUAAGUCUCCCCAUUGGCCCAUCUCAGAUGUGACUGUGGAGAAUAAUAGACAUUAGAUAUCCUCACUGAAGGCCUACUAAGAUUCUCACAGUGGACUCUGCCUCUCCACCAAAACAGGGACUCUCCUUGUUUAUAGCUCUCUAAGGAUAUGGUACAAAGGAAAAUGAACAAUGUGUACCACUUAAAGGUCUUGGACUUGGAGCACAGAAAUUGAUAUAGUCUCGUUGAAAAAAUAAGGGGAACAGUAUCUUCCUGUUACUGGCUGUCCUUGUGGAAAGAACAAACUUUUAUUAUUCCCUUGGACCAGGAACCUUUCAUAUUCAAUCUCACAGGCAAACUACAGCUUUUUCUGCUAUAACAGAGCCCUGUAAUUACUGUUAUUAAUCUUAAAAUCAUGGGCUUUAAUUCCAAAGACUUCUUGUAACUUGAAAGUCUUUCAAAACAUAAUGGUGCAAAAAAAAAUAAAUCACCCUUUCCAAGUGGCGUCUUUGCUUGG